AGCAGCCGCGGUAAUUCCAGCUCCAAUAGCGUAUAUUAAAGUUGUUGCAGUUAAAAAGCUCGUAGUUGAAUUUCGGGAUCAAUAUGCUGGUCGUGCCAUUGGUACGUACUAGUAUUAUUGGUUUCUUCCUUCUGAUGAAUCAUGAUGUCAUUAAGUUGAUGUCAUGGGGAAUCAGGACUGUUACUUUGAAAAAUUAGAGUGUUUAAAGCAGGCUCGCGCUUGAAUACAUUAGCAUGGAAUAAUGAAAUAGGACGUUUGAUUCUAUUUUGUUGGUUUCUAGGAUUGACGUAAUGAUUAAUAGGGAUAGUUGGGGGCAUUAGUAUUCAAUUGUCAGAGGUGAAAUUCUUGGAUUUAUUGAAGACUAACUACUGCGAAAGCAUUUGCCAAGGAUGUUUUCAUUAAUCAAGAACGAAAGUUAGGGGAUCGAAGACGAUCAGAUACCGUCGUAGU
rnacentral:rRNA from 1 species